UCCAAAGCAGGAGGAAGAUCUUGUGAUAGUCACCAGGUCCCCAGCUGCCUGCGGGGCCAGCCUGGGGGUGCCUGUGUGUCCCUGUGCCCUGGUGACACCACGUGGGCUGCUGGGAAGACGGAGGCCGCUCCAUAUUCUUGGCUUGUCACUUGCUGGCAGGACAAGGUGGUCGAUUUGGUUCCUGUGUCAUGUCCUGCUGUGGCUGAUGUUCGUAAGGAAGCCAGCGGGUCCUGAAGUUGCUCAAGUCUCAUGUUUGAUGAUUCUCAAGUGUUUGCUAAACCUAUAACUGAUGGCAAUUCAAAUUGGGAGGCUGAGGCAGGAGGAUUGCAAGUUGGAGGCCAGCCUCAGCAACUCAGCGAGACCCUGUCUCUAAAUAAAAUAUAAAAAGGGCUGGGGACAGGGCUCGGGUUAAGCGCCCCUGGGCUCAAUUUCCGGUAUCCCCCCAAUUAAUGGCUUAUUGAUGGUCAA